UACGUAGGUGGCAAGCGUUGUCCGGAAUUACUGGGUGUAAAGGGCGCGUAGGCGGGUAAAUAAGUCAGACGUGAAAUGCCACAGCCUAACUGUGGAACUGCGUUUGAAACUGUUUAUCUUGAGUGCAGGAGAGGAAAGCGGAAUUCCUAGUGUAGCGGUGAAAUGCGUAGAUAUUAGGAGGAACACCAGUGGCGAAGGCGGCUUUCUGGACUGUAACUGACGCUGAGUCGCGAAAGCGUGGGGAGCAAACAGG
rnacentral:rRNA from 1 species